rnacentral:rRNA from 1 species
AUUGAACGCUGGCGGAAUGCUUUACACAUGCAAGUCGAACGGCAGCACGGGUGCUUGCACCUGGUGGCGAGUGGCGAACGGGUGAGUAAUACAUCGGAACGUACCCAGUUGUGGGGGAUAACUAACCGAAAGGUUAGCUAAUACCGCAUACGACCUGAGGGUGAAAGCGGGGGACCGUAAGGCCUCGCGCAAUUGGAGCGGCCGAUGUCUGAUUAGCUAGUUGGUGGGGUAAAGGCCUACCAAGGCGACGAUCAGUAGCAGGUCUGAGAGGAUGAUCUGCCACACUGGAACUGAGACACGGUCCAGACUCCUACGGGAGGCAGCAGUGGGGAAUUUUGGACAAUGGGGGAAACCCUGAUCCAGCCAUUCCGCGUGAGUGAAGAAGGCCUUCGGGUUGUAAAGCUCUUUCGGCAGGGAAGAAACGGUUCUGGAUAAUACCCGGAGCUAAUGACGGUACCUGAAGAAGAAGCACCGGCUAACUACGUGCCAGCCGCCGCCGUAA